rnacentral:rRNA from 1 species
UACAGAGGUCCCAAGCGUUGUUCGGAUUCAUUGGGCGUAAAGGGUGCGUAGGCGGCGCGGUAAGUCGGGGUGUGAAAUCUCGGGGCUUAACUCCGAAACUGCAUUCGAUACUGCCGUGCUUGAGGACUGGAGAGGAGACUGGAAUUUACGGUGUAGCGGUGAAAUGCGUAGAUAUCGAUAAGGAAGACCAGUGGCGAAGGCGGGUCUCUGGACAGUUCCUGACGCUGAGGCACGAAGGCCAGGGGAGCAAACGGG